GCAUGUAUAUUCUCUCUCUCUCUCUCUCUCUCUCUCUCUGUGUGUGUGUGUGUGUGUGAGAGAGAGAGAGAGAGAGAGAGAGAGAGAGAUGACUCCAUGU